rnacentral:rRNA from 1 species
UACCCGCAGCACAAGUGGUGGUCAUUAUUAUUGGGCCUAAAGCGUCCGUAGCUGGCCUGUUAGAUGCCUGGGUAAAUCGAUGCGCUUAACGCAUCGAACUCCGGGUAGACCGGCAGGCUCGAGACCGGGAGAGGCGUGGGGUACUCGGGGGGGUAGGGGUAAAAUCCUGUAAUCCUCCGGGGACGACCAGUGGCGAAGGCGCCACGCUAGAACGGCUCUGACAGUGAGGGACGAAGCCCUGGGGCGCAAACCGG